GACAGAGGGGGCAAGCGUUAAUCGGAAUUACUGGGCGUAAAGCGUGCGCAGGCGGUUUUGUAAGUCUGACGUGAAAUCCCCGGGCUCAACCUGGGAAUUGCGUUGGAGACUGCAAGGCUGGAGUCUGGCAGAGGGGGGUAGAAUUCCACGUGUAGCAGUGAAAUGCGUAGAGAUGUGGAGGAACACCGAUGGCGAAGGCAGCCCCCUGGGUCAAGACUGACGCUCAUGCACGAAAGCGUGGGGAGCAAACAGG
rnacentral:rRNA from 1 species